AUAUCGUCUACUUAUGAUACCAAGCUUCAUAUGCUAAGCAACCCCUAUAUGUUUUUUUCAUCCACAAGUUUUUUGGCAUGUGUAAGUACAGUAAAAAACAAACACUAGAACCAGUACUCAAAAAGCCAGAGUUGCCUUAUUUUGAAAAUGGUACGAAACGAAGACACGGCUUCCAUGAAUGAACUCCAAAACGGAGCAUCACAAUCCAUGACGAGUUAUCUAAGGACGAGUUGUUCAAAAACAUAAAAGGAAGCAGAAGUGAGGCUAGCUCAGUUUCAAAGCUCUAAACCAAAGAUCCAAAGGGUUUCUGACAUGCUCCGAGAUUGCCCAAAGUUCGAGAAAUACUAUGAGGCAAGGGCAGUAGCAAUUGGUCCUUUCCAUCAUGAUAAAGCAAGGUGUCAGCUGGCAAAGAAGUUCAAGCUUGCACUGGCAACAAAAUUUAUCGAAGACAGUGGCCGUCAAGCUAAGUUUGCACAAGAUCAUUGAGGACAACAUCAAAACACUAAAGGGCUGCUAUGAUGAGGAAGCAACAAGGUCCUACACCGACAAGGCCCUCACACUUGUUAUUCUUAGAUGGAUGUUCAACCUUACAGUUCAUACACUCCCUCAUGAAUAAUAAGUUAGCAAGUUUCAAAUUGAAAUGAGAUCAGAUGGCAUUUACGGAACAGUAUUUGUUUUUUUUGAGAUGUUCCUUGUAAGAAAAUUAUCAAUUGCGUUCUUCAAGCCCUCUUUGUCACUUAAGCUCAUCAAUUGCUUGAGGACUUGGUAAGUGAGUUGGUUUUCUAGCAAGAACAAAUCAUGUUCUGCAAAAGCCACCUAAUCUCUCUUGAUCUUGAAACUUGCUAACUUAUUAUUUAUUAAGGAGCAUAUGAAACUGUACGGUUGAACAUCCAUCUAAGAAUAACAAGUGUGUGAGGGUCUUGUCGGUGUAGGACCUUGUUGCUUCUUCAUCAUAGCAGACCUUUCUUUGGUGUUCUAGCAGCUCUGGGGUUAAUCAGCAUCCAGACUUGGUACACAAUCAGUUCUCCAUCCACUGCCCGUGAUGCUGUAUGCAGUCCAAAUUCUGGUUCAUCCUUUUGUCAGGCUUCAAAGGUGCUAUAUGUAGUAGGGAAAAACAGCAAGAAUCAUAAACUAGUUGCUGCACUAAAACUCAAGGGUUUUAUUCUAUCUUAUUUGAAUUGGCCUGUUCAGAAGUUGGGAACAGGCUCGUACUUGUUAAGUUGUUAUGCGAAAUGACUCAUUGUUUCUCCUUCUGCAUAGUAUGGAGUUGAAGGUCAAGAUGAAGCCUGCAGUCACCAUGAUUGAUGCAGACCAAAAUACCAGCGAGUUGGGUGAAUAUGAACGUGAUUCUCUCCGUUGAUGGUCAUGUUCAAAUCCUCACAAACAUGUCCUGUUACACUGUGAAUGGUGUGCUGCAUAGAUUUUUACCACAGAAGACGCAAAACUUGCUGGAGCAUUCAUCAAGAUCCUUGAGCAAUGUGGGCAGUAAGUGCCUGAAGCACUACAAGAAAUGUCUGUUUCAUCAGCCAUGUUGUAACAUUGAAGUACUUUUCUCAUUUUUGACUUGCCAAUUUUCUCGAUAAGGUUAAUAUGCAACUCUUUUUCAACUUAAUACCAUUUUAAAUUGUUGUAAGAUUUUUUAUACGUUAUUAUUUUUAUUAAUACUUGAA